GUGGGCAUAGCUCAGUUGGUUAGAGCGCCUGAUUGUGGUUCAGGAGGUCGCGGGUUCAAAUCCCGUUGCUCACCC
rnacentral:tRNA from 1 species